rnacentral:rRNA from 1 species
GAGUUUGAUCCUGGCUCAGGAUGAACGCUAGCGGCAGGCCUAAUACAUGCAAGUCGAACGGUAAAUAGUUCAGCAAUGGACUAUGAGAGUGACGCACGGGUGCGUAACACGUAUGCAACCUACCCUUUACAGGAGUAUAGCUCGGGGAAACUCGAAUUAACACUUCAUAGUAUGAUUGAAUGGCAUCAUUUGAUUAUUAAAUCUGCGGAGGUAAAGGAUGGGCAUGCGUCUGAUUAGCUAGUUGGUAGUGUAACGGACUACCAAGGCGAUGAUCAGUAGGGGAACUGAGAGGUUGAUCCCCCACACUGGCACUGAGAUACGGGCCAGACUCCUACGGGAGGCAGCAGUGGGGAAUUUUGGACAAUGGGCGCAAGCCUGAUCCAGCCAUGCCGCGUGC